rnacentral:lncRNA from 1 species
AAAAUUUCUGCCACCAUAUUGCAUCAACCCCGGAGAAGAAUCAGCAAACCAUGAAGCUCUAGCAUCAAGCUCUAGAGGAUCUUGCAAGAAUUUCAACGAAUUUCCAAUUUCUUUCUUAGUCAAAGGCUGGAAGGAUGAGUUCGAGUACAACUCGACUUUCUCCACUAGACGGAUUGACCCACAUGAGCUAGCACAUAAGCCAUCGUGCGAAUCAGACUACCACCCGAGUCAAUUCCCUUUCGAACUCCGCAACGCGACGACUAUGAGGAGACCCCUGUAUCAGGUCCGUAGCAGGGCCUGGUAAUCACAUCAACUCCUCAAGGCAGAUUUGUCUACUGGCCCAGUAUGAAGCCACCUGCUCUCGCCAAGAAUGACGAUUCUCGCCACAACAUAGUUGGCUCAAUUGGUGGCACUCGCUUACGAACAACUCGAUCAAACAGAAUCUAAUACAAUCAGUUCAACGUUCCCCAUCC